CUACCAUCGAUACCAUGGUUGUUUGAGAUCAUUGUGCUCGACUUAAAACACAUUACCUUCAUGAUUUCUCAUAAUAUAGCCCAUCCCAGCAUUUCUUUCAUUCUAAAAAUCAUCAAAGUUUAAUUUUAAUCAAGUCAUACGGGAGAAGUACCCCAUAGACUAAUAUUGGUUAAAGGUUAAUUUGGCUUUCAGAACUACUAGUAUC
rnacentral:lncRNA from 1 species